UUACUACCCUCUCCAUCCUAAAAUUCUUGUCUUAGAUUUGUCUAAAUACGGAUGUAUCAAGUCACAUUUUAGUAUUAGAUACAUCCGUAUCUAGACAUAUCUAAGACAAGAAUUUUAGGACGGAGGGAGUACCUG
rnacentral:pre_miRNA from 1 species